GAUGGGAAGAAGACGCGGGAGGAUGGAACGAGAGGGCUAGCCGCGUAGUGUCGCGCUGAGGAAGGAUAAAGAGGGCUGGUGAGUGGGGAUGCCGGAGAAUCAGCGCAAGCUACACCCCACCGUGGCCGCCGUGGCAGUCAGUCGUCCGCGCACCCCCGUCCGGAGAGGGUUAUCGUGUUCGGUGGUGAGUUCUCGUUUGCCAGUGACUGAUCAUCAGCCGCACUCGGUCAUCGGUCGAUCAGCUGAUCCUCUGCUAAGUGUCCUGCUGGCGUCUCCUCCGACAGCUGCCAUCAGCCUCCAGCCAAUCGUCAUCGAAUCCUGGCCUUGAACUGAGAAGUGGCUGAGCACCCGCGGGACAACACGGCAACUGCGGAAACGGGAGAGGGCGAGGAGAAGUCCAGAAGAGAGGAGGAAGUCUGAUCGAAUAACCGGGCAAACUUAAAAACGAAUUCUGGGUCAAGGUCCAUAGAACGUGCCAGGUCGGAACGAUGUGAGAGGGCUAUAUGGGUGAACACCAAACAGGCGAGCGACACUCGACGAAAUCACGAACACGUGGCGAGACGUGAAGCGGGCGUUGAGCCUGCUGUGCGUAAAAAAAUUCUCCGGAAGCGGAACGAUGCUGGAAGCGCCGCCCGGAAGUCGCGAGGACCUGGUGGAAGCAGCGAGAACACCAUGCACGCCCACAGAUCUGGACACGAUGCUGUACGGCUACACGAACAACAUAUACGUGCUGGACCACACGCCCGAAUCCUUACCGG